rnacentral:piRNA from 1 species
UCAGACAUCUAUACGCCCUCGAGGUUAGAG